CAGUUAUCGUUUAUUUGAUAGUACCUACUUACUUGGACAACCGUGGUAAUUCUAGAGCUAAUACAUGCUAAAAACCCCAACUUCGGAAGGGGUGUAUUUAUUAGAUAAAAAACCAAUGCCCUUCGGGGCUCCUUGGUGAUUCAUAAUAACUCAACGAAUCGCAUGGCCUUGCGCCGGCGAUGGUUCAUUCAAAUUUCUGCCCUAUCAACUUUCGAUGGUAGAAUAGUGGUCUACCAUGGUGGCAACGGGUAACGGGGAAUUAGGUUAGUCGAAACAUUUUUCUUUUUAUCUGUUAUUUUUUUCCCUCGCCCUUGCCUACUUUUGUGUCAAAGGGAAAGGCUGGUAGUGGUGGCAAGUGGUGUUGUCCCGGGCAUAGUAGUCACCUGGAAUACUGCUAUUUUGUUCAUGAGACUGGAUUCCCUAAGCCCUGUCGGAACGGAACUCAGGAUCUUCUGGCCAACUGUUCAUGUAUCCCCUCUUGUUAAAAUCAUGUAUAUCUCAAGCCUGGCGUUUUCAGUGUAGCAAAUGUUAGGGCAUACAUAUCUAAUAUUUUCUACUGUAGGGUUCUAUUCCGGAGAGGGAGCCUGAGAAACGGCUACCACAUCCAAGGAAGGCAGCAGGCGCGCAAAUUACCCAAUCCCGACACGGGGAGGUAGUGACAAUACAUACUGAUGUGGAGCUCUUUUGGGUUUCACAAUUGGAAUGAGUACAAUUUAAAUCCCUUAACGAGGAACAAUUGGAGGGCAAGUCUGGUGCCAGCAGCCGCGGUAAUUCCAGCUCCAAUAGCGUAUAUUAAAGUUGUUGCAGUUAAAAAGCUCGUAGUUGAACCUUGGGCCUGGCCGGCCGGUCCGCCUCACCGCGUGCACUGGUUCGGCCGGGCCUUUCCUCCUGGGGAGCCGCAUGCCCUUCACUGGGUGUGCCGGGGAACCAGGACUUUUACUUUGAAAAAAUUAGAGUGUUCAAAGCAGGCCUAUGCUCGAAUACAUUAGCAUGGAAUAAUAGAAUAGGACGUUGCGGUUCUAUUUUGUUGGUUUCUAGGACCGCCGUAAUGA
rnacentral:rRNA from 1 species